AAAAAGGCAAACCCUGGGUUUGCGUGUCCAACUUUAACUAUCCGUCUUAUAUGAAAUUUUUUUAUAAUUCAUAUUUUCAUUGUUGUUAGAUAAUAAAACAUGAUUAAUAUUUUAUGCGUGACUUGUUUUUUUAGUUUUUUUUAUAAUUUUUUCAAAUAAGACGGACGGUCAAACGUUGGGCACGGAAACCAGGGUUUGUCUUUUU
rnacentral:pre_miRNA from 1 species